ACUGUCUAAGUAGGCCCUAGAGAAAGAUUGUUAGGUUGACGUCUCAGCUCCAACAUUGUGUGUACGACCUUGGACCUUGCUUAACUUCUCCAAGCUUCAGUUCCUUCAUCUAUAAAAAUUGGAAUAAUAAAGGUUGAGAUGCGUGGUGGAGGGAAAUUUUUUUAAAAAAAGGUGUUUCUGAGAUUCCAAAAAUGCUGGCUUCUUUCUGUGGACACCACACGCAGACAGUUACAGUGCCCUCUUCUGGUGGAGACGCAUCAUUAUUCUCUACAUGCUUCAGAUGAUAAUCUCUGUGCUGCUCUUCUAAUGAUGCAAGAAUUCAGUAACAUAUCACUGAAUGUCUACUGUGUGAAAGACAUUGGCCUGGGAGGACUUUGAGAGACACGAAGACAUCCAGCAACUAGGCUAUGCCAGCAGAAAUUUCUUUCAACUUUCUGGCUACAGAUUGUCUAAUACUUGGCUGAUGCUUAAGAAUGUCAAAUAAAGAACAAACCUUUCCUGGGAAUUGAGCUCUCCCCCAGCUAUGAACACUAGGAUUUUGCAAAAUGUGUCUGUUUCUCCAGCACUGAAGCCAAUCUGGACUUUGGCAAGGCACCUAUCCUACAGGACUGUUUCUUUUAAGAACAAGCCCCAAGGUCCCAGAAGCACAUUCGC